rnacentral:tRNA from 1 species
GCCGAAGUGGUGGAAUUGGUAGACACGCCAUCUUGAGGGGGUGGUGCUCUAACGGGCGUACGAGUUCAAGUCUCGUCUUCGGCACCA